rnacentral:rRNA from 2 species
CCGGGAAACCGGAGCUAAUACCGGAUAGUUCCUUGAACCGCAGGGUUCAAGGAUGAAAGACGGUUUCGGCUGUCACUUACAGAUGGACCCGCGGCGCACUAGCUAGUUGGUGGGGUAAUGGCUCACCAAGGCGACCAUACGUAGCCUACCUGAGAGGGUGAUCGGCCACACUGGGACUGAGACACGGCCCACACUCCUACGGGAGGCAGCAGUAGGGAAUCUUCCGCAAUGGACGAAAGUCUGACGGAGCAACGCCGCGUGAGUGAUGAAGGUUUUCGGAUCGUAAAGCUCUGUUGUUAGGGAAGAACAAGUGCGAGAGUAACUGCUCGCACCUUGACGGUACCUAACCAGAAAGCCACGGCUAACUACGUGCCAGCAGCCGCGGUAAUACGUAGGUGGCAAGCGUUGUCCGGAAUUAUUGGGCGUAAAGGGCUCGCAGGCGGUUUCUUAAGUCUGAUGUGAAAGCCCCCGGCUCAGCCGGGGAGGGUCAUUGGAAACUGGGAAACUUGAGUGCAAAAGAGGAGAGUGGAAUUCCACGUGUAGCGGUGAAAUGCGUAGAGAUGUGGAGGAACACCAGUGGCGAAGGCGACUCUCUGGUCUGUAACUGACGCUGAGGAGCGAAAGCGUGGGGAGCGAACAGGAUUAGAUACCCUGGUAGUCCACGCCGUAAACGAUGAGUG